rnacentral:rRNA from 1 species
UGGGGAAUAUUGCACAAUGGGCGAAAGCCUGAUGCAGCAACGCCGCGUGAGUGAUGAAGGUCUUCGGAUUGUAAAGCUCUGUCUUUUGGGACGAUAAUGACGGUACCAAAGGAGGAAGCCACGGCUAACUACGUGCCAGCAGCCGCGGUAAUACGUAGGUGGCGAGCGUUGUCCGGAUUUACUGGGCGUAAAGGGUGCGUAGGCGGAUGUUUAAGUGAGAUGUGAAAUACCCGGGCUUAACUUGGGUGCUGCAUUUCAAACUGGAUAUCUAGAGUGCAGGAGAGGAGAAUGGAAUUCCUAGCGUAGCGGUGAAAUGCGUAGAGAUUAGGAAGAACACCAGUGGCGAAGGCGAUUCUCUGGACUGUAACUGACGCUGAGGCACGAAAGCGUGGGUAGCAAACAGGAUUAGAUACCC